CCUCCCCGGCCGCUGGGGCGCCGUACGCCUGGCGACUAGCACGGAUGAAAACAUGGAGGCGUGCUGUGUUCCAGUUUCACUUCAUCACCCUCUGGAUUUACAGCUCUGCCCAGUUCUGUCGUCAUUACAGGCAAGAUCCUCUUGUAUGAUAGGAACCAGUAACAGUCACCAGACCAGAAUUUGAACACACACAUCCUUAAGGACCAGUUACAGAAGAGAUCCCGAUAGAAGAUUCCAGAAACCACAAUCAAAAACACAGAUGCCAUUUAUGUAUUUGAAGAAAUUGAACAGUCUCUCCUGGGCUUGGAGGCAUUUACAAUGAUGUCUCAAUUGUACAUAUGUUCUACAUGUUAGUUACAAAACACUCAGAGAAAUUGUUGUGAUCUUAGUGCAAGAGGAUAUCAUUGAACACGUCAUAGGAGAAUCUACUCGGGAGAGCUAAUAUUGAGAAAAUCUGCAUGUAUGAUCUGCCAUUGAGGUUGCUCAUCUCGGAACUUCAGACAUUGGGGGUCUUGGAGUGAUUUGCAAAGGUCGUCACCAAGCCUUUUUAGUUGAUUUAAUAAGUAACUAUCCUACAUGUAUAUGUACUAUUUUCACAAGUAGGUAGAUACUAAAAUGAUUAGUAAAAUAUUAAUUUAAAUAUAAUAUCAAAC
rnacentral:lncRNA from 1 species